rnacentral:rRNA from 1 species
GGCGAACGCUGGCGGCGCGCCUAAUGCAUGCAAGUCGAGCGACGCAUGCCCGGUGGGUAACCACGGGGUAUGACGGAGCGGCGAACGGGUGAGUAACACGUGAGUAACCUGCCCCGAAGAUCGGGAUAGCCCGGGAAACCCGGAUUAAUACCGAAUACCCUCUCUGGAUCGCAUGGUCCGGUGAGGAAAAGCCUUUGUGCUUCGGGAUGGACUCGCGGCCUAUCAGCUAGUUGGUGAGGUAACGGCUCACCAAGGCAACGACGGGUAGCUGGUCUGAGAGGACGAUCAGCCACACUGGGACUGAGACACGGCCCAGACUCCUACGGGAGGCAGCAGCAGGGAAUCUUGUCCAAUGGGCGAAAGCCUGAGACAGCGACGCCGCGUGAGGGAUGAAGGCCUUCGGGUUGUAAACCUCUUUCAGGAGGGACGAAAUUGACGGUACCUCCAGAAGAAGCCCCGGCAACUACGUG